rnacentral:rRNA from 1 species
GACGAACGCUGGCGGCGUGCUUAACACAUGCAAGUCGAGCGGUAAGGCCCUUUCGGGGGUACACGAGCGGCGAACGGGUGAGUAACACGUGGGUGACCUGCCCUCAGCUCUGGGAUAAGCCUGGGAAACUGGGUCUAAUACUGGAUAUGACUCCACGGUGCAUGUCGUGGGGUGGAAAGCCUUGUGCGGCUGAGGAUGGGCCCGCGGCCUAUCAGCUUGUUGGUGGGGUGANGGCCUACCAAGGCGACGACGGGUAGCCGGCCUGAGAGGGCGACCGGCCACACUGGGACUGAGACACGGCCCAGACUCCUACGGGAGGCAGCAGUGGGGAAUCUUGCGCAAUGGGCGAAAGCCUGACGCAGCGACGCCGCGUGAGGGAUGACGGCCUGGUUGUAAC